CUAAUACUCCCUCCGUCCGAAAAUACUUGUCAUCAAAAUGGAUAAAAAGAGAUGUAUCUAAAACUAAAAUAUGUCUAGAUACAUCCCCUUUUAUCCAUUUUGAUGACAAGUAUUUCCGGAUGGAGGGAGUACAAC
rnacentral:pre_miRNA from 1 species